rnacentral:sRNA from 1 species
UGUUGAGGAAGCUGAACAGAAAAUAGGUAACAGAUUUUGCAUUUUCGAUGGAGGAGUAGAGCAGAAGGUGAAGAAGUCAUUAUAGUGGUUGAAACACAAAUCUUUUAAGAUGCUGAUAGGGCAGUGAUUGGAGGGGGAAGUAUUGCCAAAGAAGAUAAAAACUGGGAAAGAGCUGUCUCUGGGACUUUGUCCAACCUGUAGAAUUUGCUCCCUUAUAUUUUCUUCAAUUUGAUCCUCAGAAACAGAAGCCACACUGCCGGGGAAUGGCUCCCAAUGGCUUACCAAAUCAUAUCAUGGCUCCUGUUUGGAAGUGCCUCCAUCUCACCAAGGACUUCCGAGAGCAGAAACAUUCAUACUGGGAGUUUGCUGAAUGGAUUCCUUUAGCCUGGAAGUGGCACUUGUUAUCUGAGCUUGAGGCCGCUCCCUACCUGCCCCAGGAGGAGAAGUCUCCAUUGUUUUCUGUACAACGUGAAGGGCUACCUGAAGAUGGCACCCUCUACCGAAUAAACAGAUUUAGCUCGAUCACAGCACAUCCAGAGCGCUGGGAUGUGUCCUUCUUCACGGGGGGACCGCUCUGGGCUCUGGACUGGUGCCCAGUGCCAGA